AACAGCCCCGAACACAUUAGCAUGGAAGAAUACUAUAGGAACCCCAGUUCUAUUUUGUUGGUUUCUAGGACAAGGGAGAUAGUUAACAAGAGCUACUGGUGGUAUCUGUAUUAACCUGUCAGAAGAGGAAUUCUUGUAUUACGUUUCGACAAACUGCCGCUAAAGCAUUUGCCAAGGAUGCUCUCAUUGAUCAAGAACAAAAAUAUGGGGAUCAAAGAUGAUUAUAUAACGUCGUAGUCUAUACCAUAAACAAUGACGACUAGAGAUAGGAGGUCGUUCUUUCGUUGAUCCCUUCUGCAUCUUGCGAGAAAUCAAAGUCUUUGUCUUCCGGCCGGAGUAUGGACGCAAGGCUGAAACUUACAGGAAUUGACGGAAGGACACCACCCACAGUGCAGGUUGCGGGUUAAUUUGACUCACCACGGCGAAACUCACCAGGUCCAGACACAGGAAGGAUGGACAGAUUGAUAGCUCUUUCUUGAUUCUAUGGGUGGUGGUGCAUGGCCGUUCUUAGUUGGUGGAGCGAUUAAGUCUGGUUAAUUCCGUUAACGAACGAGACCUUAGCUUACAAACAGCGCCGCAUAUUCUCGGAUAGGGCGACACUUCCUAGAGGGACUAUGCGAUUUCGAGCGCAAGGCAGUAUGAGGCAAUAACAGGUCUGAGAUGCCCUGAGAUGUCCUGGGCUGCACGCGCCCUACACUGAUACGUUCUCCGGGUGUACAACCUGCUCCGGUAGGGUUGGGUAAGCCUUUGAAAACGCAUCGUGAUGGGGAUAGAAUAUUGCAAUUAUUAAUGUUCAACGAGGAAUUCAUAGUAGGCGUGUUUCACUAGCUCAUGCCGAUUACGUCCCUGCCCUUUGCACACACCGCCCGUCGCUCCUGACACGAUUGAGCAAGGCUGGUGAAUAUUCUGGCACGGCAAUGUGAACUGGUUCCCCAGCUCCGAUUUUCGGAAGUCGAGUGAACCUUUUCGCUUAGAGGAAGGAGAAGUCGUAACAAGGUAACC
rnacentral:rRNA from 1 species